CCGCCCCCGGCAGCGGCACACUGGAACAGGUUGCUUAAGGAGGUUGUGGAUGCCCCAUCCCUGGAGGCAUUCAAGGCCAGGCUGGAUGUGGCUCUGGGCAGCCUGGUCUGGUGGUUGGCAACGGUUGGUGAAAGGUUUCUGUAGGUCGGUGGAAGUCAUAGGAAUGAAGGACAGCUGGACCUUCGAGCACAGAGCGAUACAACAACAAACUGCACCUGGCACAGAGGCACAGGAUUUCUAAGAAAGGCUCACGACUUCAGGGAACACAGCCAACCCACCCCUACUUUCGUCAGCCACCGCACACACGUGGCAUUCAUCAUACAGCAGCCUCACUCUCAGCUCCUGUUCGGAAUGCUCACUGUUCGUGAAGUCUUCACGGAGGAUUCUCCAUCUGAUUUCAGAAGGAAACAGCUGGACUGCAAGAAACGCACGUGACACGUCCAAGAACUACAGCCUUCGGAUCUACAAAGCUAUUGCAGCCUCACACGUUAAGGACCACCCUGCUCUGCUAUGACACAGUCAUAUCCACCUACUGAGCAUGCAGAAGCUGAACAAUUUGUAAGCUGGGCCCUAUCUUUUAGAGAGACAACUGGCCUUAACUAACAAAUUAUUGAUGACUGUGUAAUUCUCCAUCAGAUUAAUAUGUCCCAGUUAAUUAUCUUAACUACAAAGAAUUAUUGGAUGCUAUUUACACUGUGAACUUUGCUGACACCAGAGCCUAAUCUUUCACCAUGUAUUUGCCAAACAGAUUAAAAAUCCCCCUGGUACUGAGCAUCUCAUGCCAGUACCGGUGCUUGCAGGUUGUUCCAAGCAGCUUUUUGUCUUCUCCAUGCCAUGCUGAAACGCUGAAUCUUCUUCCUUCUCAGCCAUAGUUUGCCCCAAGUUCUGCCCAAGUGGAUGGCAACCUUGAGAUCUC
rnacentral:lncRNA from 1 species